UGUAUGGUGUCAAGAGCAUCAUCAAUGCAGCUUUUAAGAAUAUCAAAGCCGUUCAGAGAGGCCUCGCCACUGCUUUUGUUAAGGCGCCCACGGAGCUGCUUUUGAGCAGCCAGCAGCAAAAUUGCUGUGUGGACAUGCAUCUCCUCAUGGAUGUAACCGCAUACCUCUUCAACAAUGUUGUCUGUAUGUUUGGCAAUUAA
rnacentral:lncRNA from 1 species